rnacentral:rRNA from 1 species
CAGCAGCCGCGGUAAUACGGAGGGUGCAAGCGUUAUCCGGANUUACUGGGUUUAAAGGGUGCGUAGGCGGGUUCAUAAGUCAUAGGUGAAAGUCCGCGGCUCAACUGUCGGAUUGCCUGGGAAUGUGACAUGUAGCGGUGAAAUGCAUAGAUAUGUCAUAGAACAUCGAUUGCGAAGGCAGCUGACUGGAACGCUGAGGCACGAAAGCGUGGGUAGCGAACAGGAUUAGAUACCCUGGUAGUCCACGCCCUAAACGAUGCUCACUCGAUAUAUGCGUUAAGGAGUAAGUGUCCAAGCGAAAGCGUUAAGUGAGCCACCUGGGGAGUACGUUCGCAAGAAUGAAACUCAAAGGAAUUGACGG